UACGUAGGGGGCGAGCGUUGUCCGGAUUUAUUGGGCGUAAAGAGCUCGUAGGCGGUUUGGUAAGUUGGAUGUGAAAUCUCCAGGCUCAACUUGGAGGGGUCAUUCGAUACUGCCAUGACUAGAGUUCGGUAGGGGAGUGUGGAAUUCCUGGUGUAGCGGUGAAAUGCGCAGAUAUCAGGAAGAACACCCGUGGCGAAGGCGGCUCUCUGGGACGGUACUGAUGCUGAGACGCGAAAGCGUGGGGAGCGAACAGG
rnacentral:rRNA from 1 species